GGGCCCUACGGGAGGCAGCAGUAGGGAAUCUUCCGCAAUGGACGAAAGUCUGACGGAGCAACGCCGCGUGAGUGAUGAAGGUUUUCGGAUCGUAAAGCUCUGUUGUUAGGGAAGAACAAGUGCAAGAGUAACUGCUUGCACCUUGACGGUACCUAACCAGAAAGCCACGGCUAACUACGUGCCAGCAGCCGCGGUAAUACGUAGGUGGCAAGCGUUGUCCGGAAUUAUUGGGCGUAAAGGGCUCGCAGGCGGUUUCUUAAGUCUGAUGUGAAAGCCCCCGGCUCAACCGGGGAGGGUCAUUGGAAACUGGGAAACUUGAGUGCAGAAGAGGAGAGUGGAAUUCCACGUGUAGCGGUGAAAUGCGUAGAGAUGUGGAGGAACACCAGUGGCGAAGGCGACUCUCUGGUCUGUAACUGACGCUGAGGAGCGAAAGCGUGGGGAGCGAACAGGAUUAGAUACCCUGGUAGUCCACGCCGUAAACGAUGAGUGCUAAGUGUUAGGGGGUUUCCGCCCCUUAGUGCUGCAGCUAACGCAUUAAGCACGCGGACAUCGUUAGUAUAAUUAUGU
rnacentral:rRNA from 1 species